rnacentral:rRNA from 1 species
UACGAAGGGGGCUAGCGUUGCUCGGAAUCACUGGGCGUAAAGGGGGCGUAGGCGGGUCUUUAAGUCCGGGGUGAAAUCCUGGAGCUCAACUCCAGAACUGCCUUUGAUACUGAAGAUCUUGAGUCCGGGAGAGGUGAGUGGAACUGCGAGUGUAGAGGUGAAAUUCGUAGAUAUUCGCAAGAACACCAGUGGCGAAGGCGGCUCACUGGCCCGGUACUGACGCUGAGGCACGAAAGCGUGGGGAGCAAACAGG